GCUGGGUGUGGUGGCGGGCACCUCUAAUCCCAGCUACUGGGAGGCUGAGGCAGGAGAAUCACUUGAACCCAGGUGGCAGAGAUUGCAGUGAGCUGAGAUUUUGCCACUGCACUUCAGCCUGGGUGACAGAGUGAAACGCUGCCUCAA
rnacentral:SRP_RNA from 1 species